rnacentral:sRNA from 1 species
GGCGGCGCAGUCUCGGUAGGCGGAAUCCGGAGAUGAUGAGUAUCAAGGGGACCAGUCAGACACAGAGGACGAAGUGGACUCUGACUUUGACAUUGAUGAAGGGGAUGAACCAUCCAGUGAUGGAGAAGCAGAAGAGCCAAGAAGGAAGCGCCGAGUAGUCACCAAGGCCUAUAAGGAACCUCUCAAGAGCUUAAGGCCUCGAAAGGUCAACACCCCGGCUGGUAGCUCUCAGAAGGCCCGAGAAGAGAAGGCACUACUGCCAUUAGAACUACAAGAUGACGGCUCUGACAGUCGGAAGUCUAUGCGUCAGUCUACAGCUGAGCAUACACGACAAACGUUCCUUCGGGUACAGGAGAGGCAGGGCCAGUCAAGACGGCGAAAGGGGCCCCACUGUGAGCGGCCACUAACCCAGGAGGAACUGCUCCGGGAGGCCAAGAUCACAGAAGAGCUUAAUUUACGUUCACUGGAGACAUAUGAGCGGCUCGAGGCUGAUAAAAAGAAGCAGGUUCAUAAGAAGCGGAAGUGCCCUGGGCCCAUAAUCACCUAUCAUUCAGUGACAGUGCCACUUGUUGGGGAGCCAGGCCCCAAGGAAGAGAACGUUGACAUAGAAGGACUUGAUCCUGCUCCCUCAGCGUCUGCAUUGACUCCUCAUGCUGGGACUGGACCCGUCAACCCCCCUGCUCGCUGCUCACGUACCUUCAUCACUUUUAGUGAUGAUGCAACUUUCGAGGAAUGGUUCCCCCAAGGGCGGCCCCCAAAAGUCCCUGUUCGUGAGGUUUGUCCAGUGACCCAUCGUCCAGCCCUAUACCGGGACCCUGUUACAGACAUACCCUAUGCCACUGCUCGAGCCUUCAAGAUCAUUCGUGAGGCUUACAAGAAGUACAUUACUGCCCAUGGACUGCCGCCCACUGCC